AAUAGAUACCCGGGUAGUCCACGCCGUAAACGAUGAGUGCUAAGUGUUAGAGGGUUUCCGCCCUUUAGUGCUGCAGCUAACGCAUUAAGCACUCCGCCUGGGGAGUACGGCCGCAGGGCUGAAACUCAAAGGAAUUGACGGGGGCCCGCACAAGCGGUGGAGCAUGUGGUUUAAUUCGAAGCAACGCGAAGAACCUUACCAGGUCUUGACAUCCUCUGCCAACCCUAGAGAUAGGGCGUUCCCCUUCGGGGGACAGAGUGACAGGUGGUGCAUGGUUGUCGUCAGCUCGUGUCGUGAGAUGUUGGGUUAAGUCCCGCAACGAGCGCAACCCUUGAUCUUAGUUGCCAGCAUUCAGUUGGGCACUCUAAGGUGACUGCCGGUGACAAACCGGAGGAAGGUGGGGAUGACGUCAAAUCAUCAUGCCCCUUAUGACCUGGGCUACACACGUGCUACAAUGGAUGGUACAAAGAGCUGCGAACCCGCAAGGGUAAGCGAAUCUCAUAAAGCCAUUCUCAGUUCGGA
rnacentral:rRNA from 1 species